rnacentral:rRNA from 1 species
CCCUCGUGAGGGGUAGCUGAAGGGUACUAUACGAAUAAGCACCGGCUAACUCCGUGCCAGCAGCCGCGGUAAUACGGAGGGUGCAAGCGUUAUCCGGAUUUAUUGGGUUUAAAGGGUCCGUAGGCGGACUUAUAAGUCAGUGGUGAAAUCCUGUCGCUUAACGAUAGAACUGCCAUUGAUACUGUAAGUCUUGAGUAUAUUUGAGGUAGCUGGAAUAAGUAGUGUAGCGGUGAAAUGCAUAGAUAUUACUUAGAACACCAAUUGCGAAGGCAGGUUACCAAGAUAUAACUGACGCUGAGGGACGAAAGCGUGGGUAGCGAACAGGAUUAGAUACCCUGGUAG